GAUGAACGCUAGCGGCAGGCUUAACACAUGCAAGUCGAGGGGUAUAGUUCUUCGGAGCUAGAGACCGGCGCACGGGUGCGUAACGCGUAUGCAAUCUACCUUUUGCAGAGGGAUAGCCCAGAGAAAUUUGGAUUAAUACCUCAUGGUAUGUGAGAAUGGCAUCAUUUUCACAUUAAAGUCACAACGGCAAAAGAUGAGCAUGCGUCCCAUUAGCUAGUUGGUAAGGUAACGGCUUACCAAGGCAACGAUGGGUAGGGGUCCUGAGAGGGAGAUCCCCCACCAUGGUACUGAGAAACGGACCAGACUCCUACGGGAGGCAGCAGUGAGGAAUAUUGGACAAUGGGCGCAAGCCUGAUCCAGCCAUGCCGCGUGCAGGAUGACGGUCCUAUGGAUUGUAAACUGCUUUUGUACAGGAAGAAACACUGGUUCGUGAACCAGCUUGACGGUACUGUAAGAAUAAGGAUCGGCUAACUCCGUGCCAGCAGCCGCGGUAAAAC
rnacentral:rRNA from 1 species